rnacentral:rRNA from 1 species
UACGUAGGCAGCGAGCGUUGUUCGGAGUUACUGGGCGUAAAGGGUGUGUAGGCGGUUCUCUAAGUUUGGUGUGAAAUCUCCCGGCUCAACCGGGAGGGUGCGCCGAAAACUGGGGGACUCGAGUGCGGGAUGGGAGAGUAGAAUUCCUGGUGUAGCGGUGAAAUGCGUGAGAUAUCAGGAGGAAUACCGGUGGUGUAGACGGCUCUCUGGACCGCCACUGACGCUGAGACACGAAAGCGUGGGUAGCAAACAGG